AGUGGCACGUUCUCGGCUCACUGCAACCUCUGCCUCCCAGGUUCAAGUGAUUCUCCUGCCUCAGCCUCCCGAGUAGCACAUGCUCCCAUGCCUGGCUAAUUUUUUGUAUUUUUAGCAGAGAUGGGGUUUCACCGUGGUAGCCAGGAUGGCCUCAAUCUCUUGACCUCAUGAUCCACCCGCCUCAGCCUCCCAAAGUGUUGGGAUUACAGGCGUCAGCCACCGCGCCCGGCAGGUCUUCAUGAUUCUUGUUUGGAUAACCAUACCGCUCAUCAUCCACGCUGGUGCAGUAGUGAUUUUCUCGGAAAUACCCACCGGACUCAGUCCCUGAAUAUUCUCUUUCUUUUCUUUUCCCCUUUCCCCCUUUUUGACAGAGUCGCACUCUAUCACCCAGGCUGGAGUGCAGUGGAGCAGUCUCAGCUCACUACAACAUCUGUCUCCUGGGUUCAAGCGGAUUUUCCUGCCUCGGCCUCCCAGGUAGUAGGGAUUACUGCCACCAAGCCUGGCUAAUUUUUGUGUUUUUAGUAUAGAUGGGGAUUCACCACACUGGCCAGGCUGGUCUCAAACUCCUGAUCUCAGGUAAUCCACCUGCGUCGGCCUCCCAAAGUGCUGGGAUUAUAGGCUCGAGCCACUGUGCCUGGCCAAGUCCCUGCAAGUCCCUGAAUAUUCUUCAUUGGCUUCCUUUGGCCUACUGUACAAGUCCACAGUCCUCAGCAAGGCAUCAAGCCCUUUACGACCUGAUUUCAACCUAGCUCUCCAACCUCAUCUCUUGCGGCUCUACUCCCUUGCCUCCCCUCCUACCUGAAACUCCCCUCUAUCUUCAAAAAGUAGUCAAUCAUGUCUCCUUUGAUGAUGUCCCAGCAGAGGUAGCUAUGGUGCUAUGGUUUGAAUGUAACUCUCAAAGUUUAUGUGUUGGAAAAUUAAUUGCUGUUGUAAUAAUAUCAAGAGGUGGGCUUUUAAGAGAUGAUUAGGCCACAAAGGGUUGACUCUCAUGAAGGGAUUAAUGUAGUUAUUGCAGGAGUGGGUUGGUUACCAUGGGAGUGGGUUUCUGAUAAAAAGAGUGAGUUCGGCCCAUUUUGUCUGUCUUGCAUGUUCACUUGGUCUUCAGCCAUGUUAUAACACAACAAGAAGGCCCUCACCAGAUGCAGCCCAUUGGACUUCUCAGCCUCCAAAAUGGGGUGUCCAAGCUUGUAGGUGCAUCACUGGUGAGGCAGCUGCAGGCACUACCGGACCAUGGGAGGAGCAGCUUCUGGGCUACAGCUCUUUGGAUUGUACGUGUGACAACUGGGCAGGAGAAACCAUUAAUGAUCAUGAAGUGGAAGUCCAUGAUGAGGAUGGUAAACCAUAAGGUGGAAGGAGUCUGAGACCCUGAACAAAAAAAGAGAUUGAAGAGUGAAAGAUCAAGAGGGAAUGAUUCCUUGGGAGCAGCAGUUGACAAAGCAAAUUACAGAAUAUACUCAGUGAGAAUCAGAUGAAACACGGGAGAUAAAAGGCUCCGGACCAAGAGGUCCCAGCGAAGCAUUAAGAGGAGAAAGGCUGCAACCAGGAAGUCCACACACUUACAGCUGCUUCCAGGACCCGGUGCUCACCCAGUAACAAAGCCACCUCUGUCUGGGAAAACCACAGCAAGGCGAGGCAGGGAGCAGAAAGCCUUUAAUUGGGGUGGCCAACAAGCGGCCCUGUGAACUCCAAAUGCCUCCAGCAGGCUGGGGCACGCUUUUUCUUUCCUUUCCUCUGUGCCCACCCAUUGAUGGCCUCGCUCUCCAGGGCUUCUCAACAGGCAUUGUUGGUCUUUUGGCUUCUCCCCUGCUCUGGGUCCCGAGCCAUCUUUAUGCCUUUUUGCUGUUCUGCCUUGAGCAUGCUAUAGGCCUGUGUCCUGUGUUCUCAGCUCACCCUCUCUCCAUCAAGAUGUUUCUAUCCAGGUUUCACCUUCUCAGACCUUGCCAGGUGACUGGGCAUCUAAUCUAAUAAUCCAGUAAUAAAAUCCGUGGUAACUAAAGGCUGAUAACCAAAUAUGUUAACCCUUUCUAUGAACAUUUCCAGUUUGGUAGUGGCCUGUGGACCUUCAACUCAGGAAUUAUUUAUCUGGGAAAGCUGGGCAGUCAGUGUCCAGAGAUUAGGGACUUUUGGAUUGGACAAUCCCUGGCUCCCCUGAAAUUGCUUGAUGAAAAAACCUUCUGAGCAUAAUUGAGCCAGCGUCAAGGUCCCCAGUUAAAGCUUUUUGGUAUUGAUCCAGCCCCACAUUGAUCUCAUC